CAGCAGCCGCGGGAAUACAGAGGGUGCGAGCGUUAAUCGGAUUUACUGGGCGUAAAGCGUGCGUAGGCGGCUUCUUAAGUCGGAUGUGAAAUCCCUGAGCUUAACUUAGGAAUUGCAUUCGAUACUGGGAAGCUAGAGUAUGGGAGAGGAUGGUAGAAUUCCAGGUGUAGCGGUGAAAUGCGUAGAGAUCUGGAGGAAUACCGAUGGCGAAGGCAGCCAUCUGGCCUAAUACUGACGCUGAGGUACGAAAGCGUGGGGAGCAAACAGGAUUAGAUACCCCUGUAGUCCCUGUCUCUUAUAC
rnacentral:rRNA from 1 species